rnacentral:rRNA from 1 species
GGGUUGUGAGGUUAAGCGACUAAGCGUACACGGUGGAUGCCCUGGCAGUCAGAGGCGAUGAAGGACGUGCUAAUCUGCGAUAAGCGUCGGUAAGGUGAUAUGAACCGUUAUAACCGGCGAUUUCCGAAUGGGGAAACCCAGUGUGUUUCGACACACUAUCAUUAACUGAAUCCAUAGGUUAAUGAGGCGAACCGGGGGAACUGAAACAUCUAAGUACCCCGAGGAAAAGAAAUCAACCGAGAUUCCCCCAGUAGCGGCGAGCGAACGGGGAGGAGCCCAGAGCCUGAAUCAGUGUGUGUGUUAGUGGAAGCGUCUGGAAAGGCGCGCGAUACAGGGUGACAGCCCCGUACACAAAAAUGCACAUAUUGUGAGCUCGA